rnacentral:lncRNA from 1 species
GUGGCGGUGGUGCGGGGUGAGGGGACGCUCCCGGGGGGGUCAUGCUGGGGCUGGGGGUUGGUUAUAGAGAACUGGGGAAGGGCUGGGGGCUUGUACUGGGGGUUGGGGGUCAGGGUACAGGGGGCUGGGGGUUAAGGUAGAGGAGGCUAGGGGGAGGUGGGGAUUGGGGGGUCACAUUGUGGGCUGGGGGUCAGGGCAUGGAGGGCUGAGGUGGGCACUGAGGGGCAGCGAGGUGCCACGGGGGUGCAGGUGCUGAGGCACAGAGGAGAAUGCAGGGCCUGGGAGGCGGGCAGGGGCCAGGCCGCGGGGGUGGCACGAAGCAGCUUCUCCCUGAGCCUCGUGUGUCACAGGAUCUGCGCUGGGGGUCGCCUCCGGAGGAGCCACAGCCCUGCAGGCCUGAGUUGUGAGCAAAGGUCGCCGAGUCUGCGUGGGACGUCCGUGUCCCUCAGGUGUUCCUGCUCGCCACGGAGACUGCUGAGUCUGCGCCCUGCCCCAGGCCGAGGUGGCUGAACUGAAGGUCUCUGCGUGACGGUGGGAGUGCUGCCCUUGCGGUUCCCUGUGGUUAUAUCUGCGUGGUCUCUAGGUUAUAGAAGGUAAUUUUGUCUAAGUAGAUGGUAAACAUUAAUAAAAUCCAGUUCUUCAAGCUGACUGUGUUUAAU